CUGGAGAUAAGUGGGACAUGUCAUUUCUCACAUGAGGUCCCGGCGAGAAGGAUCUGCCUCCAUCAGAUUCACACUCGGGAGAGGAGCCCGGCCUCCAGGAGCGCCAGGCAGAGGAGAGGGCACCCAUUAGGAAGAAGAACACAGAGCCCAUGGGAGUGAAAAGUUUGAUGCUGGAAAGCAACAGUAACACAUUCUGCUACAGAGCGGAAUGAAAAACCCUGGAGAGCAAAUUCCUGAGCCAGAGAAUGGAGCGGAGGAACCAGCCAAGGAGGAUAAAGAGAGCUGCAUGCUCUGAGGCUGCCCGACCCUGCGCUCCAGAACAGGAGACAAGUGUUCAGGAGACAAGCAUGUCAGCCAUGACACAAGGCAGAUGAGAGGGAUCCCCAGCGUCCACAUGUGGAGGCAGCGGGGGCAGCCGUGACUUCCUUCUUUAGUGUUGAUUCAGCUCCCUUUGCAGGCGGAUCCAUACAAACAGGCCGAACAUCAAUCAGGGCUGGUCCCAGGCCACCCGGCCGGGUGCAAUGCAGAAAUGGAGAUCUGCCCCGGGGCAGCCAGAUGAGUGUAGGAAGGAGGGAGGGCUGCAAGAAGCUGGGGGCAGCCGCCAUCCCCCUGUGGCCUGCGCGGGCCUGUGCCCCGCCCCAACCCCUGACGCAGCUUCCCACGCUCGGAGCACAGUUCCUCCCUCCUCUGCCUUCCUCUGCGUGGUGUGGCUCCUCCUUGAGGGACAGAGCUGAGGAGGCGGCAUUCUUGCUUCACUGACUCACCCAGAGGAAGAUUUCACAGCCCCUGGCAAGGGCUGCCCAACAGGCUCACCUGUCACCCCCUGUCCAGGGACAGACUGACCGGUAGCCUUGGCUGGGUGGGGAGUUAUGCUGGGAAGUCUUCCAGGCCCCCUGGGGCUGGGAAGAUGCUCAAUGUUCAAAGGAGAUGGAACAAGGAAAACAGUUAAGCAAUGAUGGACUCCAGGGGGAAAACCGGAGGAGAAGAAACUGUAAUUCCAGUCCGUCCACGUGGCCCAGCAGUGAACGACAAUUGCAUGGUCAGAGAGAGCAAAAGCACCAAGCCGACUGAAAGCAGCUCGAAUGCGGUGGGGCAGUGGGAGAUAAUGCCCUCAUCUACCAAAACAAGGUCUGCCACCUUGACAGACCACUAAACCUCAUUCCUCCACCCACCUCCCCACCCCACGAAGUCCAGCUGACCAGAGAGCAGGGCUCCCGAGGGUCGGGUCGGGUCGGGUCGGGUUGGGUCGGGUGGGUGCCCCUUACUCUAACCGAGGCUCUGCCCUGGACUCGGGGUCCACUUGCCCUCAAAGCAUGCCACUCUUCUUUCUGAUACUUGACAUAUUUCCUUUACUGUUCAAUUCAUGGUUUCUGCCCAAACAGAGCCACGCGAGGAUGUCUUUGGGGAUGUGUCUCCGAGAAAAUUCUGGGCAGCCUUCAUCUCCCUGGAUUCCUGUGACUCGGUUUCCAUGGGGGCUUUCUAAGCUCAGGGACCCCAAGCCUCCAUCAAAUCUAAUGACCCGCCCUGUCUCUGAACACAUCUGUGUUGUCCCUGAGCCCCUCACCAACCCCCUCCGCAACCCCGCCCACACAUUUCCCAUCCUGAAGGGUCCGGCUCAAAGGCCGGCCCAUGCGUUCCCUUUACCCCUACUUUGUCCCUACCUGGUGGGGAGCUGUCCCUUCUUGGCCCUAGUGUGGCACUUCACACACGAAUGUGUCCUGUGGGUGGUAUCUGGGGCCUCCCCCUGCAGUGAGGGGAUGACCAAUGUGCAGAGCUCACUGGGCCUGGGUAUGGGCCUGGGUGGCACAGAACAGAGAGAAAGUGCUCUGUAAAAGUGAGCUGCGAUGCCUCCGCUAGGGUGGAGGUGGGCAAGCUCUUCCCUGGAGGGGGAAGAGCUCUCAACCUAGAGGGAUCUGACCAGAAAGGUGCACCCCCCUCCACCCAGGAAGCCCCUGCAGACAGUAUGUGUUUUAGGCUUUGCUGGCCAAAUGGUCUCUGCCAUGACUACUCAGCUCUGCCAUUAUGGCGGCAGAGUGACCAUAGACCUUCUGAAAGUGAAUGAGUAUGACUGUGUUCCAAUAAAACUUUAUUGACAAAAA
rnacentral:antisense_RNA from 1 species